GAAAAGGAGUUAAGUAGCUAAAGCUGCUGCCAAUAAGGCUGCAGGUAGCUAACAAAAUGAAGCUGCUGAUACUAAAACCAACUCGAGCCUGAUGUAUAAAACAAAGCUCACUAGGCUUGAGCUACGAGUUGACAAGCCUGUAGGCAAGAGGUCCCCGUUUUCUGUGAUGGGAGAACUUUUUAAAUUGUUUCUUAUUAACUGUCUGCUGCAGCAUUUUUUUCUACUUGGGAUGCUUGCUUGCAGCCACUAGGGGGCGUUAGAUAUUAAGUGGUGCCCCAAAUGAAUAAGAACUAUUUCACAAAUCAAAAAUAAGUAAUUCCUGCACCUUCACCGUGAAAUCAUGGAUAUACUGAGAGAGAUGAGUUAAGUACUUGUUGGCAGCUGCUUCAGAACUUGCUUUACAAAUAAUCAAGGAUUAAGUAUACCAAGCUACGGAGUUGUGAGUUCCAUUGAGAUGCAAGAAAGAAGUUGCAUAUGUGAAGUUUCCAAUACCUCUUUUGAGAGAGGUUAAAUGUCGUGUUGACUUUAAAAGCCCCUGAAACUUUGAUCUUCACUAUAUUUGUCGUUCUUAGUUCAUAAAUUCAUAUGAAAUAUUUUUAAAUGUUUCUGGUGUAUGUUCAGCCUCACAAAACGUAGCUCUCAUCUAUUUAUAUUUUGGCUCGAAACUGAAAACCUCUAGGGUAAAUACUGAAAAUGAUUAGUUGGAGGAAAAUAAAUCACUUUGCAAACUAAAAAUAAACUCCCUUUUUAAACUUUUCUAAUGUAGUGUCUCAUUAGUCCUUGGAGAGCUCUCUGGUACUGUGAGAUUCUCCUGCAGCUACAGGAAGGAAGUUUUCAAAUCAUAUGAAUGAAUUUCUUUGCAGCCUUUAACUAUCCUUGCGCUUCUCACUUUGACGAUAAAACAUUUAAUACUUCCUAAUUCUUACACUGACCAUAGCACUUCUAGCACUGCUAUUCUACAAACUUCGCAUUUGCUCACAUCACAGCCAUCUCUGUGGCUAAUGAUUAUAGGGGUUUACUCUUACAUGAUAAAACAAGGAUGUCUGGACAUCUGAGCAACAUCUUUCCAUCUGAAAGUGCCCAGUCUAGGAAUGGGAAAUGAAGGUGGUCACUUGUUGUUCGCAGUGUUAUUGGAUUUAAUCUAAUCUCAGAACAGGCAGUGCACAUAUCCAGGCCAUGAUUAUUCUUUCUUGAAGUGUAUGAACGUUCAAGUUUGCCUGUGUUGGCUGAAGCAAAGACCUCUCCUCAUACCAGGAGGAGAAUACUGUAUUUCUGUGGCUCACGUGCAACAUUAUGCUAUAUACCAG
ensembl:lncRNA